rnacentral:rRNA from 1 species
AACGCGAAGAACCUUACCUGGGUUUGACAUGGAUCGGGAGUGCUCAGAGAUGGGUGUGCCUCUUUUGGGGUCGGUUCACAGGUGGUGCAUGGCUGUCGUCAGCUCGUGUCGUGAGAUGUUGGGUUAAGUCCCGCAACAAGCGCAACCCUUGUUCACUGUUGCCAGCACGUUAUGGUGGGGACUCAGUGGAGACCGCCGGGGUCAACUCGGAGGAAGGUGGGGAUGACGUCAAGUCAUCAUGCCCCUUAUGUCCAGGGCUUCACGCAUGCUACAAUGGCUGGUACAGAGAGUGGCGAGCCUGUGAGGGUGAGCGAAUCUCGGAAAGCCGGUCUCAGUUCGGAUUGGGGUCUGCAACUCGACCUCAUGAAGUCGGAGUCGCUAGUAAUCGCAGAUCAGCAACGCUGCGGUGAAUACGUUCCCGGGUCUUGUACACACCG